rnacentral:rRNA from 1 species
AGGACAAACGCUGGCGGCGUGCGUAACACAUGCAAGUCGAACGCCCUUUAGCUUCGCAAGGAGUGGGAGGGAGUGGCGGACGGGUGAGGAACACGUGGGUGACCUACCUUUCAGUGAGGAAUACCGGCGAGAAAUCGCCGACAAGACCGCAUACGCUUCUCUAUUCGCAGAGGGAAGGAAAGCUUCACGAGAGUGAGGCGCUGGAAGAUGGGCCUGCGGCCGAUUAGCUAGCUGGUGGGUAACGGCCUACCAGGGCGACGAUCGGUAGCUGGUCUGAGAGGACGAUCAGCCACACUGGGAUUGAGAACGGCCCAGACUCCUACGGGGGGCAGCAGUGAGGAAUUUUCGGCAAUGGGGGCAACCCUGACCGAGCAACGCCGCGUGCAGGAGGAAGGUCUUCGGAUCGUAAACUGCUUUUCUGUGGGAAGAGAACGGACGGUACCACAGGAAGAAGCCCCGGCUAACUACGUGCCAGCAGCCGC